rnacentral:snRNA from 1 species
ACUCAUAUCUUAUAGAGAAAAUGCCAUGUCAUAAAAAUGGUUUUCCCAUAGGGAGGUCCAUCCAUUGCACUUUGGGUGUGCUGCUGAUCCCUAUGAUUUCCCCAAAUGUGGGAAGCUCAACUGCAUACCUCAUGUUAAUGAAAGGAUUACAUUUAUCAUUUUUUU